rnacentral:miRNA from 1 species
CGAGGAAUCUCUGGUGGAGGU